AGCCAGGACGGGCCGCCUCACACCGGCGGCGGCGGGUCCUCCGCGCGCCCUCUCCCGGGAGGGGCGGGGGCGGGGCUGCCUGCGGAUUGGUCGCGGGCACUGAUGGACAGCCGACAUGUCCCGCCCCCCCGGCAGCGCGGGGCUGGUCCGCAGGCAGUUCUGGCGACGGCCAGACCCACGUCUGUCUGUUCCGCCCCUGCUGCCAGGGUGGCUUUCAGUGGUCCUCUCUUUCGGAGAGUUCCCCCCAAGCGUGAGCACCCCUUACAGGGGCGUUAGGUCCGCGGCCGCGCUGUCCAGUGGUCUGACCUGCAGCUCCCAGGGCCUUUGUGUCUGUCCCUCGCAUGGGCCUCUGCACGCUCCGUCCCCACGCGACAGGACUCGAGUCCGAUUCGGGGCUCCGACUCAGACCCUACCCCGCAGCGCCCUCCUGCAAAUGCUCUCCUGAACUUUGGUUUUCCCCGCCUUGCUUUCUUCCUCCUCCUGUAGCCGCUGCCUCUCGAUCUCAGAAGCUUCUCUUCCUCUGCACUCAGUGCUAGGCCAGAUCCCAAGGCGACCUGACCUUUCCCCUGGCUUUGCCCAACAACACAGGCACCGGUGACUCCAAACCUGCAUCUCCCCUACGUUCCAGGCCCCAGCAUCCCACUGCAUGUUCCACAUCCCCCCCCCUUAGACAGCUCGCCUUCCCUCCCCAAACGAUUCCUUCCACAGUCUUCACUUUCUCAGAACGCGGCGCUAAACUUCUCUAAGUUGGAAGGUCAAAAACCUUGCAGCUAACUUUGAUUCCUCCCUUUGCCUCACCUCCAAUCCAUCAAGACCUUGUCACUCAGCCCACAAGCUGAAGGCCCCAUCUCCUGUCACCCAGACUACUCACCUUGUUUGGUUUUGCCUGGAUCUAUCAGUUUGGUUUUGCCUGGAUUUAUCAUGCUUUAAAUCUUUAAAAUGAAAUUAAAUCAUGAUCCCCUACAUCCAGGCUAAAACCCUCCGUGAAUUCCCAUUGCACCUAAAAUCCACACUCCCUGCUUGGCCUAGCAGGUUCUAUAUGACCUGCCCAUCUCACCAGUUUCAUCUCUCACAAGUGAUCCUUCACUCUCCAUUCUCCAGCCACAAGGCCUUUUUCUGGUUAUGGAAUAUAAUUCAUACUCUUUGUCUUUCUGAAGCCAUUCUUGAAACUCACCCCUGCAAUCUAUCUACCCUUGUCAGCACCGCCAAAAUUGAGGACACCCACGGUCGCGGUGGAGCCUGUCUGACAUGUUGAGCCAGGCAGUGGGUCGGCUGCCAGGCACAGCAGGACAACUUACUGCAUUUCAGAGGAAUGAUGGUCCACAAUUUACUGAUGAGGAAACAGAGAUUCAGAGAAGUUCUACAAUUUGCCCCAAAGCCACAUAACAUGACUAGGUGGGAACUAGAACCCAAGUCGGCCUGACUCCAUGAGUUUUCUGCCUCACAGGAGAUCCACUGGCUUAGGUAAGUCCUGGUGGUCAGUAGUCAGUGGGCAUGGAGGCUAUCUGGUUAAUCAGCAUGGGUGAGGGGAGGCAUGCUCACCGCUGGCCUUGGGCACAGGGAAUCCAGCAGAACGUGAGUGCUCACAGAGUGUGGCUUGAACUGGCUUAGGCUUGAAGUUCUGUGGACCCUGCUCUUCUCUGUGUUGGGCAUUGACAACAUGAGGAGCACAAGAGAGACACAGCGCCAGCUCUCUGGGAGUUCAGACAUUAAAUAAACACUCUGUUACAUAAAGACAAUUAUGAUGAGGGCUAGAAGGAAAAACAUUGGGUCGAGAUCUCUUCAGACCUCAGCAGAGGUCUAAAGGAAGUGAGUCGAUGGCGAGGUGAAUUAUUAAAGGUGGGUUGGAGAAAAGUACAUUCCAAGUAGAGGUAACAGCAUGUACAAAGGCCCUGAGGCCAGGAAGAGGUUGUUGAAUUUAGGGUUACAAAGCUAGAGUUUCCUGACUGAGGAGGGGACAGGGAGUGAUGAGACCAGGAAGGCAGACGGGGGCUGAAUGGGGCCCCUCUCUGGCUGUCUGAUCCUGUUUUGUACAGGAGGCACCCUCUUAAGUGCUGCAGCC
rnacentral:lncRNA from 1 species